UGGGGAAUUUUGGACAAUGGGGGAAACCCUGAUCCAGCCAUCCCGCGUGUGCGAUGAAGGCCUUCGGGUUGUAAAGCACUUUUGGCAGGAAAGAAACGUCGCGGGUUAAUACCCCGCGGAACUGACGGUACCUGCAGAAUAAGCACCGGCUAACUACGUGCCAGCAGCCGCGGUAAUACGUAGGGUGCAAGCGUUAAUCGGAAUUACUGGGCGUAAAGCGUGCGCAGGCGGUUCGGAAAGAAAGAUGUGAAAUCCCAGAGCUUAACUUUGGAACUGCAUUUUUAACUACCGGGCUAGAGUGUGUCAGAGGGAGGUGGAAUUCCGCGUGUAGCAGUGAAAUGCGUAGAUAUGCGGAGGAACACC
rnacentral:rRNA from 1 species